UACACAAAUGUAGUAUACCUCUGAAGACCUUCCGAUCAACUUUUCUCAGCUGCAUCCGAUAUUGCUAAUACACCAUAAUCCAGCCCUGCAAAGUCACAGCUGACAGAUUCUAAAGCCAGGCAAAAUCAAAGUCACGCUUCUUGGAGGACUGCCUGUGGUCUUCGUUUGAUCCAUGUAAAAGGAGCAGCAGGACGUCUGUCUCACAACCAGCAGCCUCCGUGUCUCAACAACAGUCCACGUCUCUUCUCCAAGCCCAAGAAACUCCUUUGCCACCACAAUUUUCAAGGCAAUUCUGAGUAUAAACUAGCUUAUACUCUUCUAUGGAAAAGACACAUUCAGUGGACAGAAGAGACACACAGGCUUCCCAGAAGCAGUGUGCUGUAUGACUGGAAAUAACACUAAAAAGUCAGAGUUUUGAGCCUAGCUUGACCACUUGAAUGGAGUUCUGGCUUCCCUCUUAAUAAAAUGGGCUAAUUCUUGCCUUGCCUUCUUCACAAAGUUAUCAAGAUCAAAUAAGAAAAAUGAAAGCAUUUUUUAAAGUGCUUUUAUGUUUGUGCAUGAGUUGAACAAAGACUCCUUUGGAUCGUCUUAAAGAACUCUACCGGGUCCGAGGAACUUAAUGAUGGACUCCAUCCCAGACAUGGACAGGAUCUCUGACUCCUGAGGAAAGAGUCAGCAGCACAUCACAUAAUGCAGGAAGAACAUAGGAGAGCAACCGUGGCGCUUCAGAGUCUCCCUGCUCCUCCCCUGCAGAAGUAUCAGGAGUAAGAGCCCAGAUGACGCUGUGACCACCUCAGGAAGGUUUUCAGCUUCUACCUAAACUGAAAGUAAAAUAAUGCCUUUGUCACACUUGCUGCAAA